CACCUCCCCUAUGGUAACCCCAUGAACAGACCUCCUGUACCCCCCCUAGUAACCCAUAACGCCUCCUGUACGCAUCCCCUAUGUAACCCCAUAACGCCUCCU
rnacentral:lncRNA from 1 species